rnacentral:rRNA from 1 species
AGAACGAACGCUGGCGGCAGGCUUAACACAUGCAAGUCGAACGGUUGUAGCAAUACAGCAGUGGCAGACGGGUGAGUAACACGUGGGAACCUUCCUAGGGGUACGGAACAACUCAGGGAAACUUGAGCUAAUACCGUAUACGUCCGUAAGGAGAAAGAUUCAUCGCCCCUAGACGGGCCCGCGUAGGAUUAGGUAGUUGGUGAGGUAACGGCUCACCAAGCCUACGAUCCUUAGCUGAUCUGAGAGGAUGAUCAGCCACACUGGGACUGAGACACGGCCCAGACUCCUACGGGAGGCAGCAGUGGGGAAUCUUGGACAAUGGGCGCAAGCCUGAUCCAGCCAUGCCGCGUGAGUGAAGAAGGCCUUCGGGUUGUAAAGCUCUUUUACCAGGGACGAUAAUGACGGUACCUGGAGAAUAAGCCCCGGACAAACCUUCGUGCCAGCAGCCGC